UUCUCGAGGGAGGUUUCUGAUACCUGUUUUGAAGAGUUAUCCUGAGAGCCAAAACCUCGGCUCUUCCUGUUACUCAAGGGAGAUUUGCACUGUUAGUCCUUUAAGUUUUGAACUUGAGUCAAUUUGAUAUUUUAUCCGUCUCGACGGAGAACUUUACCCUCUGCCUCUGAGAAAAAUCAAAUCCAGAAUUGUUGCCGGUUCUGUUCUAGUAUAGUUGGAUUCUGGAAUUGUAAUGCGACGCUGGAGGAAGAAGCGCAGGAUUUUCAAGAGUAAAGUGAGAAUUAAGGCAAAAAAGAGAGUUUUGAAAGAGGAAAAAAUAACACAGGGAGUGAGUCCGUUAGUAGAGAAGUACUGGCUUCAGAGGUACGAUUUAUUUUGGAGAUAUGAUGAAGGAAUUAAGUUAGACGAAGAAGGCUGGUUUUCCGUUACUCCGGAGGAGAUUGCCGUCGGCCAUGCUCAGCGUUGCACCGGCGCCGGUGUCGUCAUCGAUUGUUUCGCCGGCGUAGGUGGUAAUGCCAUUCAAUUUGCUCGAGUGUGUGAUCAUGUAGUUGCCAUUGACAUUGACCCCGAAAAAGUUGCCCUGGCAAUGAACAAUGCCAAGGUAUAUGGUGUUGAAGACCACAUCGAUUUCGUUGUUGGAGACUUUUUUCAGCUGGCACCAUCCCUCAAGGGAGAUGUAUUGUUUCUUUCACCACCAUGGGGAGGUCCAUCAUACAAGAUGACUAAGAAAUUUACUCUGGACUCACUGAAGCCAAAAGAUGGGCACUCCAUGUUUCAAGUUGCACAAAAAAUAACACCUCAUAUAAUCAUGUACUUACCCAGAAAUGUAGACUUACUGGAAGUGGAGCAACUUUCUUGGUUGUCUUCACCGCCUUUGGAUAUUGAGAUAGAGGGAAAUACAGUCAGAGGCCAUUUGAAGGCAAUAACUGUCUACUUUGGUGAUGCUGCCAUAACACAGCUUUGUCUCCCUCAAACACUAUCAGGUUAAAGUUGCACCAUUUGUUCAUUAUGGUUGAUGGUAUCCACUGAAAAUGUACAAGGUGCUGCAUGCAAAGUAUGCAUUUAGUCGUACUGCUCCAGAAUUGGUUCAAGACUGACUGACAACUGACUUGGUAGAAUACUUGGGUUCUGUUGUAAGGAGAUGGUCUGAUACACCAAUUGAUCAGCUCUGAAGGCAGUUGAGACUUGAGAGGAAUCUCUUCCUUAACUUGGUAAACUUAUUUAUUGGAGUUGCAGCUCAACUGAGAACUUUGUUGUACAUUUCAUUCUUUUUGACCGUCAUAGUCUGUCCUAGAAGAAUUGGCCCACCUUUGUACAUUUUGUACGUGUAAUUUUCCAUUAUCUGUAAGUGUGCUAGUCCUUCUGAUACGUGUUUGAUGCUAGUUCAAGAUACCCGAAAAUCUUUAGAACCUUUAUCUCUUUUGUGGUAAAA